CCCUGGCUGGUUAAGUGGUUAGAGCAUCGGCCCUCAGACCGAGGGGUCCCAGGUUCAAUUCCUGGUCAGGGG
rfam:Myotis lucifugus cont2.7008, whole genome shotgun sequence.